UUUUCUGAGGGUUUUGUUGACUAUUUCCCCUCUCCUCUCCGAUAGAGGUAAACUAAAUAAAAUUCGGUGGCGACUCUUUUGAUUUUGCCUCUCUUUGGCAUCUCUUUAGUCCCGAAUUCGUUAUCGUAAAAUCCCGGUAGCGACAGUGUUCUCCCUGUCAGAUCUUUAUUAUCUCCUUAUCCAGUAACGGGUAGGUGAUAAUAGAUUUCUGCUCCUCCUGUGUUGAAGUUUAUUUCUUCCCCAAUUGAGUUGAGUGCGCAUUUCCUUAGUGAAAUUGCUUUUCCUGCAUUGAUUCAAGUAUGUCAGUUUUAUCCUGAUCUACUCGUUUCCCCUGCAGAUGUUUU
rnacentral:lncRNA from 1 species